UGAGAGGGAGGAUUGGAGAAGUGCACGAGGAGGGGUGGGAAGCAGAGAAGACGGAGCAUGGUUGAAAUUCCACCAAAUGGAUAAGAAGAGGCAGACAAAGUUUGACACAUUUAUGUUUUCAGUGGUUGACCGACACGAAUGAACGAGUAAACCUUGUUUUAGCCUAGUGAAGUAUCACAAAUUAAAACCUCAGUAUUAAUUAUCCACUGCACGGAAUCUCCAUGAGGGCACAAGUCUGCAUGACGAUUUUCGCGUAAAGAGAGGCAGCGCGGGAGAGCUGACUUGUCGCCUGGCAGGUUGAAGGACAUCCCACUCUGACACCCUGCAGAUGUAAAUAACUUGUUGUGAAACUCCCAGCCACCAGGAUAAUCACCAUAUCCCAGGAUAUUAUUCAGGAGUGUUCAACAUCACAAUGUUAGAUAAAAAUGUAUUUGCCCAUGUUAUUGUUUAUCAUCCAGAUUUGUCAGGACAUUGUAAUUUAUGAAGCUCAUUCUAAAAUACAGACGUGAUUUCUGUCCCAGGGGAUUGCACUGUGUGCAAGUCUUCAAUUUAAACCACAAUUAGUUGAAUUAGGUGAUAGUGAAGGGCUGGAACAAAAACCUGUAAACUUCUGUCCUGUGUAUAAA